GAUGAACGCUAGCGGCAGGCUUAACACAUGCAAGUCGAGGGGCAGCAUAAAUAGUAGCAAUACGAUUGGUGGCGACCGGCGGACGGGUGCGUAACGGGUAUACAAGCUUCCCUAAACAGGGGGAUAAUCUGGAGAAGUUCGGUCUAAUACCCCAUAACAUCAGAGAAGGCAGCUGUUUUGGUUGAAAUUUCCGGAGGUAUAGGCGGGGUAUGCGUAGCAUUAGCUAGUGGGUGGGGUAACGGGGCACCAAGGCGCCGAUGCGUAGGGGGACUGAGAGGUUAACCCCCCACACUGGUACUGAGACACGGACCAGACUCCUACGGGAGGCAGCAGUGAGGAAUAUUGGUCAAUGGGCGGAAGUCUGAACCAGCCAUGCCGCGUGCAGGAUGACGGCUCUAUGAGUUGUAAACUGCUUUUGUACGAGGGUAAAGUGGGCUACGUGUAGCCUUUUGAAAGUAUCGUACGAAUAAGGAUCGGCUAACUCCGUGCCAGCCGCCGCGGUAA
rnacentral:rRNA from 1 species